rnacentral:rRNA from 1 species
GGACUACCGGGGUUUCUAAUCCCGUUUGCUCCCCUGGCUUUCGCGCCUCAGCGUCAGAAAGGGUCCAGCACCUCGCCUUCGCCACCGGAGUUCCGGUCGAUAUCAACGCAUUUCACCGCUCCACCGACCGUUCCAGAUGCCCCUACCCUCCUCAAGAUGAGCAGUAUCCACGGCACUUCCCCAGUUAAGCUGGGGGCUUUCACCACAGACUUGCACACCCGCCUACGCGCCCUUUAAGCCCAGUGAUUCCGAACAACGUUCGCACGGUUCGUCUUACCGCGGCGGCUGGCAC